AAGUCGUAACAAGGUUUCCGUUCAUUAACACGUAUCCAAACGUUAAACAACCCCGUGAACAUACAACCUGCUCUGGUCGCCCGCUCGCAUGGACAAGCCCAGUAAAUCAAGCCCCGGAAAGUUUUUGAUUUGGGACCUCUGUGCGUGAGAAAAACUGACAGCGAUUCAUAGAAGCGGUAGGUCAAGUGACACGGCGUCCCCAAGUGACCAGUGAAUGAAAGUGUCGCUGGAGCGUCAAGGACGACUCUUCAAGAUUGCUAGAGGUCGACCACCGACCGGCUUCCGUGUAUACUGAGCUUAACAUCGCUCCCUUCUUUAUUGCCUUGCCUGUAAGCAUCCGAUCAACUAUAUCUUGGUUCUC
rnacentral:misc_RNA from 1 species